rnacentral:rRNA from 1 species
UACCAGCACCCCGAGUGGUCGGGACGUUAUUGGGCCUAAAGCAUCCGUAGCCGGUUCUACAAGUCUUCCGUUAAAUCCACCUGCUUAACAGAAUGGGCUGCGGAAGAUACUAUAGAGCUAGGAGGCGGGAGAGGCAAGCGGUACUCGAUGGGUAGGGGUAAAAUCCGUUGAUCCAUUGAAGACCACCAGUGGCGAAGGCGAAUCCCUGGAAAAUACCUGACACUGAGGCACGAAAGCUAGGGGAGCAAACAGG